rnacentral:rRNA from 1 species
CUUAUACCUUACUGUUGCCUCGGCGCAUGCCGGCCCCCCUGGGGGCCCCUCCUUCUGGAGGAGCAGGCACGCCGGCGGCCAACCUAACUCUUGUUUUUACACUGAAACUCUGAGAAUAAAACAUAAAUGAAUCAAAACUUUCAACAACGGAUCUCUUGGUUCUGGCAUCGAUGAAGAACGCAGCGAAAUGCGAUAAGUAAUGUGAAUUGCAGAAUUCAGUGAAUCAUCGAAUCUUUGAACGCACAUUGCGCCCUCUGGUAUUCCGGAGGGCAUGCCUGUUCGAGCGUCAUUUCAACCCUCAAGCCUGGCUUGGUGAUGGGGCACUGCUUUUACCCAAAAGCAGGCCCUGAAAUUCAGUGGCGAGCUCGCCAGGACCCCGAGCGCAGUAGUUAAACCCUCGCUUUGGAAGGCCCUGGCGGUGCCCUGCCGUUAAACCCCCAACUUCUGAAAAUUUGACCUCGGAUCAGGUAGGAAUACCCGCUGAACUUAAGCAUAUC